GGCCAGCAGCCGCGGUAAUACGUAGGUGGCAAGCGUUGUCCGGAAUUAUUGGGCGUAAAGCGCGCGCAGGCGGUCCUUUAAGUCUGAUGUGAAAGCCCACGGCUCAACCGUGGAGGGUCAUUGGAAACUGGGGGACUUGAGUGCAGAAGAGGAAAGCGGAAUUCCACGUGUAGCGGUGAAAUGCGUAGAGAUGUGGAGGAACACCAGUGGCGAAGGCGGCUUUCUGGUCUGUAACUGACGCUGAGGCGCGAAAGCGUGGGGAGCAAACAGGAUUAGAUACCCUGGUAGUCCACGCCGUAAACGAUGAGUGCUAAGUGUUAGAGGGUUUCCGCCCUUUAGUGCUGCAGCUAACGCAUUAAGCACUCCGCCUGGGGAGUACGGCCGCAAGGCUGAAACUCAAAGGAAUUGACGGGGGCCCGCACA
rnacentral:rRNA from 1 species